GGGGGUGAUUGGUUUCGACUUGUGCCGGUCGGGUACAGGCUGCAUGUCGAGGACGCUUGGUUGGCCUCGUUAAUCAUCCGAGCACAAAUUAAACGCUAACGACACGUUACGUUUCAGCGAUUUCGAAAAGUCAUUGGCGGCUCCGGCUAUGCCGGAACCGGCUCCGAUGGCCUUCGGAAUGGCUGUCUAAGCCUUAGGUUCACGCAACUUAAGCCCGUUUGCUUGCAACGCCUGCUAGCAGGAUAAACGGACGACAGCUGGCUGGUUGCAGCAUCUGCUUGCGCUGUUGCAACAAGAUCUUAGCAAGCUGGUCCCAAAACCAUCCUGUUUGCCGGAGGGUCAGGGAUGAGACUUAAAUAGACAAACUACACAUGUAGACGCUUAUAUCACGAGACUCAAGGACCCGAGUUCAAUCCUCGGCACCUCCACCA
rnacentral:tmRNA from 1 species